CCAUCUUUGUUGCCACCGACAAAAACGACUCUCAGAUAUUUUAGCUAUGGGACGAACUUGCUGCGUUAUUGGGUGUAAUGUCCGAUCACACUACUGAAACGGUAAAAAGAUGAAAAACGGACUUUCGUUUCACUAUUUUCCUGCUUGGAAACAACGAGAGGAGGCUAAGCUAUCAGAGCUAACUAAAAGAAGACGAAUGUCCUGGGUGUCCGCGGUUGAGACGUCCUGAUAUCUUCUCCAAAACCCCCAGAUACCUACAAGUUUGCUCCAGACAUUUCCAUUCUGGCAAACCGAUGUAUGAAAUGGAUGAGAUCAAUCCUGACUGGGUUCCAGUGCUGAAUAUGGGUCACUGAGAAGAGGUAAAUAAUGCCACAAGAGGCUGUAGAUGAGGAGCAAGUUGGAGAGGCUGACGAAGAAACGCCAGGAGAGGAGCUCAGCAAGGCUGCAG